rnacentral:rRNA from 1 species
UGACUGAGCGGCGGACGGGUGAGUAACGCGUGGGUAACCUGCCUCAUACAGGGGGAUAACAGUUGGAAACGGCUGCUAAUACCGCAUAAGCGGACAGUACCGCAUGGUACGGUGUGAAAAACUCCGGUGGUAUGAGAUGGACCCGCGUCUGAUUAGGUAGUUGGUGGGGUAACGGCCUACCAAGCCGACGAUCAGUAGCCGACCUGAGAGGGUGACCGGCCACAUUGGGACCGAGACACGGCCCAA